rnacentral:sRNA from 1 species
UUUUUUUUUCAGUUGUAU